AUAUGAACAUUGUUGCAAAUGUACACAUAUGAAUUACAGUUUGGCCUUACCGUGAAAAGAAAAAAAAAUUAUUUACACCUUGGUAUUACUUAAAAAGUUAGUGUAAAUGUUGUCCAUGUGGACAAGGGAAAGUGGUAUCCAUGCUGAUUUUUUUUCGGAUGUACAUGUUUUGAUAUAUCCAAAUUGCGAGCAAGUCAUGUAACACAAAAAUAUAAAAUGGUCGCUACAUUAUAUCCCUUGGUGCAUGCAUUACAUGGCUAUAGAAAAAUAAACCAUAAAUCUUCAAGGACUUAAGGUAGAACCGUAAACUCCAUUGCUAACACCAUGUUUCAUUUUACUUGUCUGGUUCUUCUUUUAUUUUGAAACACACUUGUCUGCUUCUUCAUAAUUAAACAUUGGAGUUAAUCUUUCCAGCUUCCUCUCCUC
rnacentral:lncRNA from 1 species